GAUGAACGCUGGCGGCGUGCUUAACACAUGCAAGUCGAACGGAAAGGCCUCUGCUUGCAGGGGUACUCGAGUGGCGAACGGGUGAGUAACACGUGGGUGAUCUGCCCUGCACUUCGGGAUAAGCCUGGGAAACUGGGUCUAAUACCGGAUAGGACAAUGGUUUGGAUGCUGUUGUGGAAAGUUUUUCGGUGUGGGAUGAGCUCGCGGCCUAUCAGCCUGUUGGUGGGGUAAUGGCCUACCAAGGCGUCGAGGGGUAGCCGGCCUGAGAGGGUGUACGGCCACAUUGGGACUGGGGUACGGCCCAGACUCCUACGGGAGGCAGAAGUGGGGAAUAUUGCACAAUGGGGGCAAGCCUGAUGCAGCGAAGCCGCGUGGGGGAUGACGGCCUUCGGGUUGUAAACUCCUUUCGCUAGGGACGAAGCGUUUUUGUGACGGUACCUGGAGAAGAAGCACCGGCUAACUACGUG
rnacentral:rRNA from 1 species